UACGUAGGGGGCAAGCGGUUGUCCGGAAUUAUUGGGCGUAAAGAGCGCGUAGGCGGUCCGAUAAGUCGGCUGUGAAAGUCAGGGGCUCAACCCUUGAAAGCCGGCCCGAUACUGUCGGACUAGAGUCCGGAAGAGGCAAGUGGAAUUCCCGGUGUAGCGGUGAAAUGCGCAGAUAUCGGGAGGAACACCAAUGGCGAAGGCAGCUUGCUGGGACGGUACUGACGCUGAGGCGCGAAAGCGUGGGGAGCAAACAGG
rnacentral:rRNA from 1 species